GAUUAACGCUGGCGGCGUGCAUAACACAUGCGAGUCGAACGAUGAAACUUAAAUGAUUUCUUCGGAAUGAACUUAAGUGGAUUAGUGGCGGACGGGUGAGUAACGCGUGAGUAACCUGCCUUACACAAGGGGAUAGCCGUUGGAAACGACGAAUAAUACCCUAUGAUGUUUCUAUCUCGCAUGAGAUAUUAACCAAAGUGUUAGCGGUGUAAGAUGGACUUGCGUCUGAUUAGCUAGUUGGUGAGAAAAAAGCCCACCAAGGCAACGAUCAGUAGCCGGCUUGAGAGAGUGUACGGCCACAUUGGGACUGAGACACGGCCCAGACUCCUACGGGAGGCAGCAGUGGGGAAUUUUGCACAAUGGGGGAAACCCUGAUGCAGCGACGCCGCGUGAUUUAGAAGGCCUUCGGGUUGUAAAAAUCUUUUGUAUAGGAAGAAAAUGACAGUACUAUACGAAUAAGGUCCGGCUAAUUACGUG
rnacentral:rRNA from 1 species